rnacentral:miRNA from 1 species
UAGUACCAGGAAGAGCCAUCUG